rnacentral:rRNA from 1 species
GACGAAGGAUGCAAGCGUUAUCCGGAUUCACUGGGUUUAAAGGGUGCGUAGGUGGGCAAGUAAGUCAGUGGUGAAAUCUCCGGGCUUAACCCGGAAACUGCCAUUGAUACUAUUUGUCUUGAAUACUGUGGAGGUCAGCGGAAUAUGUCAUGUAGCGGUGAAAUGCUUAGAUAUGACAUAGAACACCAAUUGCGAAGGCAGCUGGCUACACAAAUAUUGACACUGAGCACGAAAGCGUGGGGAUCAAACAGG